GAUAGAUAGUAUAAGCAUUGAAGGGAAACAAUCUGGGCAACAAUGAGCCAUGGAUCCCACACCACUGCACCAUAGAACAUGACUUCAACCCCUUUUGAAGAAAACCCAAUUCGCAAAACGCAAAAAGCUUCCAAACUCAAUGCAACCCUAUAGAAUCAAUCCGAAGGGUUGCUUUCAAGAACCCAAAAAUCCAAUCUUUAGGGUUCAAAUUCAAAUCUGAACCCGAGUUGAUCUUGAUGAACCAAAACCAAGAAAUCUUCAACAAUUGUCGAACCAAAUCACGAGAAUUGAAGUGAUGACAAAUCUCUGAUUGAAAUCAAAACAAACAUAGACAGAGAACCUGAAUUAUAUGGAUUGGAACGAAAUUCACAAGUGGGUCAAAGUGGGGAGGCCGUGGAAGCUGCAGAUACAAGUGAAGCACAACCCGAGAGAGAGAGAGAGAGGUUUCUCUUCGACAGAUGCGUAUAGAGCAACGGAUCUAUGAAUAAAAGAGAGGUGCCAGGG